rnacentral:rRNA from 1 species
UACGGAGGGGGCUAGCGUUGUUCGGAUUUACUGGGCGUAAAGGGCACGUAGGCGGCUUGUUAAGUCAGGGGUGAAAUCCUGGAGCUCAACUCCAGAACUGCCUUUGAUACUGGCAAUCUAGAGUCCGGAAGAGGUGAGUGGAACUCCUAGUGUAGAGGUGGAAUUCGUAGAUAUUAGGAAGAACACCAGUGGCGAAGGCGGCUCACUGGUCCGGUACUGACGCUGAGGUGCGAAAGCGUGGGGAGCAAACAGG